GCCUUGGUAGCUUAAUGGAACAGAGCAUCAGAAUAUUAUGUGCAAUAUAUAAUUCCGAUCUACUUCUGGAGGUGUGGGUUCAAAUCCUGCCCGAGGCA